rnacentral:lncRNA from 1 species
AUUGUAUAUUGCAUUGAUAAAAAGGAUGUUAUUGACUAUGCAACAGUGGGCUCCUUUCCUCUCUCUCCCUCUCCCCAAAUAAACUCUCACUCAUGUCUCCUGGUCAGUGAAAAGGUGAAACGAACAAGAUUAAAUCAGACAAAAAAAAAAGCAGGCUCUAUGUAUACGAUCUAGAUUUAACUCAGACUGUGAAGAGCCUGAGAGUGAGAAGCAAAGCAAGACAGAAACACACAGAGGAGAUGGGGAGAGAGAGUGUAUGAAAGAAGGGAGAGGAGGAGAAGAAAAAAGAAGGGGAGGGAGAGGAGAGGGAGAGAGGGAGAGGGGGGAGGGAGGGGAAGGGGAAGGGGAGAGAGAGAGAGAGAGAGAGAAAGAGAGAGAGAGAGAAAGGAGUGAUGAACAGACCCUGCAAGCUCCCAUCCUUCUCCUUGCCGACGUUCCCCAGAAUCCUGGAUCGCUCACAGCUGGCACCAGAGAGACCCGGCCAAGCCCUGCCCCGCACCAGGAAUUGAGAAGAGGAAAUACCACCACUGUGCAGCCAAGCUGUGCUGAGGACUGA